CGGCGAGUGAAGCGGCAAAAGCUCAAAUUUGAAAUCUGGCACCUUCGGUGUCCGAGUUGUAAUUUGAAGAUUGUAACCUUGGGGUUGGCUCUUGUCUAUGUUUCUUGGAACAGGACGUCACAGAGGGUGAGAAUCCCGUGCGAUGAGAUGCCCAAUCCUAUGUAAGGUGCUUUCGAAGAGUCGAGUUGUUUGGGAAUGCAGCUCUAAGUGGGUGGUAAAUUCCAUCUAAAGCUAAAUAUUGGCGAGAGACCGAUAGCGAACAAGUACAGUGAUGGAAAGAUGAAAAGAACUUUGAAAAGAGAGUGAAAAAGUACGUGAAAUUGUUGAAAGGGAAGGGUUUGAGAUCAGACUCGAUAUUUUGUGAGCCUUGCCUUCGUGGCGGGGUGACCCGCAGCUUAUCGGGCCAGCAUCGGUUUGGGCGGUAGGAUAAUGGCGUAGGAAUGUGACUUUGCUUCGGUGAAGUGUUAUAGCCUGCGUUGAUGCUGCCUGCCUAGACCGAGGACUGCGAUUUUAUCAAGGAUGCUGGCAUAAUGAUCCCAAACCGCCCGUCUUGAAACUGGACCACAUG
rnacentral:rRNA from 1 species